rnacentral:rRNA from 1 species
AUGGCAUACCAUGUUGAAAGGACCUGCAGCUCCCCUGUCACUGGCCAAUGCCCGGGCAAGUUGAUCUGGCCAGAGUUGUUGGGCAGGAAGGGCAAGGAGGCAAAAGAUGUGAUUGAGAAAGAGAGACCUUCCACCGAUGCGAUUUACGUUCCCCAAGAUGCCGUUGUUACCGGUGACUACUGUUGCAAUCGCGUUAGGAUCUUCGUGGCUGCCACGCCCAAUGGUGACUAUGCAAACGCCAAGGUGAUUGCGGUUCCAAGAGUUGGGUGA